UACAGAGGUCUCAAGCGUUGUUCGGAUUCAUUGGGCGUAAAGGGUGUGUAGGUGGCGCCGUAAGUCGGGGUGUGAAAUUUCGGAGCUUAACUCCGAAACUGCAUUCGAUACUGCGGUGCUUGAGGACUGGAGAGGAGACUGGAAUUCAUGGUGUAGCAGUGAAAUGCGUAGAGAUCAUGAGGAAGACCAGUGGCGAAGGCGGGUCUCUGGACAGUUCCUGACACUGAGACACGAAGGCCAGGGAGCAAACGGG
rnacentral:rRNA from 1 species